CGGCGUGCUUAACACAUGCAAGUCGAACGCGAAAGGGACUUCGGUCCUGAGUAAAGCGGCGCACGGGUGAGUAACGCGUAGAUAACCUGUCUUCAUGUCUGGAAUAAUAACGCCGAAAGGGGUACUAAUACCGGAUAUUCUUGCUUUUCAUAAGUUAUGCAAGCAAAGGUGGCCUCUGCAUAUGCUACUGCAUGAAGAGGGGUCUGCGUACCAUUAGCUAGUAGGUGGGGUAAUGGCCUACCUAGGCGACGAUGGUUAGCGGGUCUGAGAGGAUGAUCCGCCACACUGGCACUGGAACACGGGCCAGACUCCUACGGGAGGCAGCAGUGAGGAAUAUUGCGCAAUGGGGGAAACCCUGACGCAGCGACGCCGCGUGAGUUGAGGAAGGCCUUCGGGUCGUAAAGCUCUGUCAAGAGGAAAGAAGUGUACAAUGGCUAAUACCUGUUGUAUUUGACGGUACCUCUAAAGGAAGCACCGGCUAACUCCGUGCCAGCCGCCGC
rnacentral:rRNA from 1 species